UAAAACCUUUCAACUUUAUAUUUUUCUCCAUACUAAAAUUUAUAAUUUCUUCAAGAACAAAAUUUUCUCCUAUCAUCAAAUUUUCCCCAAAACUUUUAGGUCAUUGCUCCAAAUCUAAGACUUUCAAAGGGCUCACAAAUUAACAAGUCUUGUUGGUGAACAUGAUCGAAUAAAUUUCAUUACUUCAGACGAUGGUGUCUUAAGGCUUCAUCAUAUUGAAAGGAUUUGGUUGAAAUGGAGUUUCUCAGUUCAUGUGAAAUUAGAAGAAAAGAAGGAAGAUCUAGGUGAGAAUCGAUGGAUAAGUUCAUGCAGACUUCUCUACCGCAUAUCUUGGAGAUGCAUUGACUCUCAGCUAUCAAACUCUUGUGUCACUGUCCUCCUUUUAACCGGUUUCCUUGCCACGAUUCUUAUGCCUGUCCUUAAGAAUGAUUUUAUCAAGUAAGUGGAUUAUCCUUCGUUUUCAAAAAGAAAACUAACUACAGUAAAAAUAACUCCUAUAUUUGUCAUACUACUUUUUGGCUGCUACAACAAAAUAUUGUUGCAUAUCUUAUAAUAAUUCAUCAUUCCAAAGAAAACGUGUCCGCUAUAGAGAGUUCUGACUAUAUCUGAUUGUCUCGAGAAAUAACUCUUUCAAUUGACAAUGUAUGCCAAAAUGUAUGCACAUGAUGAAGAAGCAUUUAACGAUCAAGGGAAGACAGGAUGGAAGUACAUACACGAUGAUGUCUUUAGGUUCCUGAAACACAAUUCAUUGUUUGCUUCAACACUUGGUUGUGGUGCUCAACUCUUUACUUUCUUAAUCUCCUCUGAAAUCUGUUGUUAUGAUAAAUUAAGUCUAAUACAAGAAACAUUUGUAUUAUUGUAUAUUAUGUAUCUUGUACAUAACAAUUUUUAUAUUCAUGAUGGCGCUUGUCCGGGUGUUGUGUCCUUACAAUUGAGGAUCUCUAUUCACUGCCCUGAUUUUAAAAUAUGCACUCACUUCUUGCGUUGUUGGAUACACAUCAUCCUCUUUCUAUUGCCAGCAUGAAGAAACUAAUAUUGUAUGUGCUGUAAUAUCCUCAUAAAUGUUGAGAUAUUGUCAUCUAGACACUAAACUUGUUGUUUCAUUCGAGCUAUCACUAUAAUGUAAACUUAGGUGUAUCAUGCAUUUUUGUUAUCAUAGUUGAUUAAGCAUUAACUAUUUGCUCGAAAGAGAGAAAACGGCAAGUUCAAAUCUCGGGUUGAGAUUACUGUUGUGGAACUCGAGACAAAGAGAAACCUAUUAUGUUGGCUACGAGUUUAGCAGACCCGGUAUCUAUGGUUCAAAUCACCUAUAUUUCUGCAGGUAGCAUAGCAUGUACUCGGUAAAAAUAGUCAAUGGGUCGCAAAAUUUUCUAGACGACAUUGACAUAUUUUAAGAACACCCAUCUGAAUACGAGUCUCACGCAUAUGUGUUCUUCCACAUAAAGAGGUUUAAUGCAAUGAGAUCUAGAGGGCUAUAUACAUCAGGAUGGAUUCAGCCAUUCAGGUAAGAAUACUUGACCUCUUUUUUUCUCACUUCCAUGUUCUUUAAACAUAACUAUUUUUUUACUUUCUUGUAGUUUGUUACUCGUUAUUGUAACUCAAGUUAUGCUAACAAGAACAACAUUCGAAAGAUGGAUUUGUGGUAGACUUAUAUGAUUUAUUUUCUCACUCAUAUCCCUUUUUUUCUGGUUCUUCUUUGUUUCUAGUUGGCUUAUUUGAUUGUUUGGAAAACAUUUUUCUGCAUGUACACUAAUUGUUGAGGUAAUUUUUCAAAAAUUCUUUUUUGCCUAAUCCGUAGCUGCUUGAACAUUUUACUAAUUAGAAUCUGAUUCCUCCUCUAUAAAAGGAGGAUACUGCUGGUAAAUCUUGUUGGUUUGUUAGUUUUGGAAAGGAGGUUUCUCUGCUUUAACAUGCUUUAAAACUUUUCGCUUUUGUAUGUUUUGGAGAGCUUUGCUGUGACUUUAUUAUUAUGAAUCAAUUUUAGAUUUGUUAGUUUUGUAGAACAUUACUGUUGUUACUCAAUUUUAGAUUUGUACUAAGGAGAUUUUCAGUUUAUGGUUGCUCUGUUGUGACUUUAUUUUUAUGGAUUAGUUUGACAUACUGUGAAUUGAGCAUAUUAAAUAGACAUGAUUUAUUUUACCAACAUAAAUUUUUAUUUUGAAUGUACAGGAAAAUGUCUAUAAUUGAAUUUGAAUUGUAUGUGUACAAAAGUAAACUCGAUCUACUGUAGUGAAUGAUGAAGAGUUUUUGUAUUUUCAUGUAUGUUUGAAUGCAUUUGUUUUUUUUGGAUUUAUUGAUAUUAGAGAUCUUUAAGCUAUAAGUUUUGAUUAUACAAGACAUGUUUCUCGAAGUUUAUUUGAAAUGUAUAACUUCGAUUUAACUAUUAGUUAAUUUUGUGUUCUAGGUCAUUUUUAUGUGUAGUUGUGUGAUUAUAUAUUGAGUAUAUGCAAUUCAAAAGUAUAAAGUUACAUUUUACAAGUGUUUAUUUAGAUGACAUAUAAAAGACAACCCUUUUGAAGUGUAACCAAUAAAACUGCAAAGGCAACACUUUUAAGUAUAGUAUUAAAAAAAUAGGUGUACCUAAUGCAUCAAAACAAAGUGUGCCCUUAUACCUCUUUUGCUACGCUUGAUAAGUGUAACCACAGCUAGUGACAUUUAAAAAGUGUUGUCUAAUCUUAAAGGUUACGCUUCUUUAGGCCACCCCCUAAAUGGUGUUGCUUAAAGUUCAAAAGUGUACCCUUUUAUCAAAGGUGACAGUUUUUGCUAGUUUAGGCUACACUUUAUUUGGGUGGGCGUUGGCUUAAAAUGGUGUAGUGCUUCUUAGGUACACUUGGUGGAAGUAGUAUUAUGAGAUUCUUCCUACACAUUGCAUUAGUGUUAUUCAGGAGUUGUCUUAGAUGAUGGUCCUUGUGUGAAGUUUAUGUCUAUGAGGUGAUUAAGUCUUAUGAAUAUAUGUGGUUGUGUUAUGAAUCAUUUUAUGAAAGUCUAUUGUAAGGUGACUUCAUGGUGAUACAUUGUACAAGUUCACUAGAGGGUUACUUAAGGAAAGAAGUAAAAUAAAAGAGAGGUAAUGUACUAUAUGAAUUGAAUAUGCCUUAAAGUAUGAUAAAUGGCUCUAUGUGCUAUUAUGACUAGUAUCUAUGUCAAUAUGAUGUAUGUGAACUAUAUUGAGCUUACAUGUUGCUAUGUUCAUGAAGUUUACUUAAAAGACAUGUUGCAUAAUUUCAAAUGAUUUGUCCUCUUUAAAUGCAUGUCUUUGAAUGGUUAUCAUACUUAGUGCAUUAUUGUACUAAUACCAUUCUUCUUCAUCUUUUUACACAAAGUAUAGGUGGUGAUGGCUACAGGAUGUCUCCUACCUGAAGAGCUUGAAUAGAUCUCCCAUGUUCAAUUAAAGGGACCCUUAUUAUUCAAGGGUUGCCUAUGUCAAGAUGCUUAUUUAAGUUGAUGUAAUUACUUAGAUAUUAUUUUAUGUUGCUAAGGGACGUGUCCCUGUCUACUCUA